GGGCCGCUGGUCUAGUGGUAUGAUUCUCGCUUAGGGUUCACCCAAAGUUAUCUUGCGAGAGGUCCCGGGUUCAAUCCCCGGGUGGCCCC